CUUGCCUCCUCUUUGUACUAUGCACUCCUGUUGCCCAGCCCAGGGGCACGGGAACAAAAUCAAGCUAAAGCCGACCAGGCCGAGCCACUGAGGAAUGCUGGGGUUUGGCGUCAGAAGGGAUGGGACCAGAGGGAAGGGUGUGAAGGAGGUCCAUUAGGGGCAGGACACUGCAGGUAAAGAAGGGGAAGAAGAGGCCGAGGAGUCAAGGGCCGGGCUGUGAAGGAGAAUAAAGGAGGUCAAAGAGAGGUCAUAUCUUCGUACCUCACUUCCUGACACAAACAAGUUUUCACUGUUGUCAGCAACAAAGCCCUAAUAUAGCUGCGGAAGAGAAAAACUGCAUUGCAUUUUACCUCCUGUGAGCCUCAUCAACAGUUACCGGAGGAAUGUAAUUCCAGAGAGCUUUAAAGCUGGUGAUGCUGGUAAUUAUGUAUCAAAUGCCUGAUUCUACUUCUGUUAUUAUUGUUUUGUCAUUUCUUUUUUACCCCAGAGCUGGCUGAACUUGCUGAGGGACAAAUCCGGUUUUUCUUUCUGACUCUGUAAAAUUUAAUCAGACCUGAUAGAAGACUCUUUGCUCUUGGGGGGAAAUAAGUAGGAGCCACGAAAUGUCAUUUUAAACAGAGCGUGGGUUUUGUGACUGUAGGGAAGGAUUUAAGGACGCUCCUUCUGCCGGGUUUCCUAUGUAAUGAGCAAAGGCUACGCGCACGCACAGACGCCAGCAGCCCCCGGAUGCUGUGGCUCCCUUAUCUGGGCUUCUGCAGCGCCAGAAGCCCCUUCGGGAUGCCGCGAGGGGCUCUCGGUGGGUGGUGGUUCGAACGCUGCGGCCGCCGCUAGUCCAGCCGCUGCUGCUGUUGUUGCUGCUGCAGUCACGUGGGAGCCCCUUUAAGUUUCCAUAGAGAGGCCUCUCCGGUGUCACAUGAUGGACAUGAUAUAAUGAAACAACAUUGUGGAGAGGAAAGCAUUAGGGGAGCCCACGGCUACAAAAACAAGUGAGUGAGAAGAGGUGGGAGGAAGAGAAACUACGCCACCUCCCCUGCAGCCCAGUCGCGCGCAGCAGCCGGAGAGGAGAAGUGGGUGACGCCGCCGGGGGGCUGGGAGACGGGGUCCUCAGCCCCGGCUAGGGGACCCCGCCGCCCACCGCCAGAGAACAACUUUUAGCCGGCAGCCGCAGCCGGCGCUGCACCUGUCUCCGGAGCUUCCAUCGCUCCUCGCGAUAACCAAAGGGAAAUUCUAGAAGAAUAUGCUCUACAAAUAUACAUGCGCAUCAUUUUCCCCUUUGCGGCUCGCUCUGGAGGAAGGAACGAGAAAGGGAUUUAAGCGGCAGCGUGUGAUCAGCGCCAAGCACCACCAAGCCUCCCUGGAGCGGUUCUCCUGCUGCUCUUGGAUUGCGGGAUGAAGCCAUUGUCCACAUGCGUUUUCAGGGGAUUUCUUAACUGGGUAGGAGCGUCUGAACAUUUUACCAUCUGGACUUUCUCCACCUCACUGCUCUAAGCUUGAACCUGCCAGUUUAUGGGAGAUGGCUGAGAACAGCACUCGGUCUGCUGAGCAGGUUGCAGAGACUUCUGCCUCUAAGAAGUCAGGAGGACGGACUUCGUGGGAGCGAAGGUGAUGAGUAAGACACGCGAGCUUGGGAAUGACAAGCGGGUGAGCCUUCAUUCGGCCAGGAGUUUCCUAGGCAACCGUGUGUGCAGUCAUUAAAGGAUGAGAAACCAAGAGACUUCUCCUGGCACAUGCUGCUCUUGUGCAGUAGGACUCUGUCCCACCUGCCACCACGGAGCCCACCGCUGUCCCGGGCGUCUGGGAGCUGAUGACUUUCCAGUUCUUCUUCUUCCACCUCCUGUGCUGUUCUGACUUACCUGUCUUUGCUGGUUUCAUCUCCUGCCGACUGACAGCUGUCUAAAGGCAAGUAUAGACGUCUAUUUUCUGUUCAAGUCAGUGAAACCUUUUUAAACUGCUGUCCUCUGGCUUCUGCUGGAGGAAAAUUGGGAUCUAUUGUAGC